UACGGAGGAUCCAAGCGUUAUCCGGAUUUAUUGGGUUUAAAGGGUGCGUAGGUGGCUUAUUAAGUCAGGGGUGAAAGACGGUAGCUUAACUAUCGCAGUGCCUUUGAUACUGAUGAGCUUGAAUGAACUAGAGGUAGGCGGAAUGUGACAAGUAGCGGUGAAAUGCAUAGAUAUGUCACAGUACACCAAUUGCGAAGGCAGCUUACUAUGGUUAGAUUGACACUGAGGCACGAAAGCGUGGGGAUCAAACAGG
rnacentral:rRNA from 1 species